AAAAGAAGCAGGGGCUCCGCCCCUUGGCCAUGGACUUGAGGCGCUGGCCCGCAGAGCGUGACUUACACUGGAAGACUACUCUGCUCCGCGGGAGACCUCUGGAACCUCACUGGUAAUCUCUACGCCCAACAUAGAGCUGAAACUCACAACCACGAGAUCAAGAGUCGCAUGCUCCACCGACUGAGUGGGCCCGGAGCCCCUAGAGGAUGCAUUUUUAAAAAGCUGCGCUGAACAACCCACAUAUUUCCAAUGCAGUGUGGUAAGUGCUAAAAGGUGCCUUCAAAGUGAAUGGCUGGAAAGAAAUACUGGAGAGCAACUGGGAGAACCCAAGAGGUAGGAAGGUGCAGCCACAGGGGAAGGGGGCAGGAAACUGUACUUGAUUGAGCACCUACCUUGCAUAUUUUAUCUGGUUUGGAUCUGACAAGGAAUCCUGCAUUAGUAGGUCUCACUCCCUAUUUAACAGAUGAAAGAUCCAAAACUCAACUGGAGGUGGGUGAAGCUGUGAUUCUUCCCACAGAAGGGGCAGCCUGAGGAGGGCAGGGGUGGGCAAGGGAAGGACAGGAUGACAAGAGGGGCUUUCCAGAAAGUCCUAAGUCCAGCUGUGAGUCUGGGCCAGGAGAAGGCUUUGGGUUCCCACCAAGUCACCAGAGCAGCUUUGCUUUUACAUAUUUUCCGCUGUUAAAAAAAAAAAAAAAGAAAGAAAGUUGAAAAUUACUGAUCCAACUCCACAACUAUUACCUCAACUCAGGGAGCUCCUGAGCAAAUUGAACUUUCACUGGAAGCAAAAUCAAGCAUGGAGAGUGUAGCCCCAAACACAGGUCAUAUCACCUUCACCAUCAACACCACACCCAGUACUUCAAGGGAGAAGACGUGCAUACACAUCCUCAAGCUGUGAGCCACACUCCUCAGAGAACGGGACUCAAGGACCCCCAAAAGUCUACUUAGAUGACAUACUUUCCUACUUGUGGCCUCCUGGUCCCUCGGAGGACAGUUGUCCUAGGACACCGAGACAGGUCCAUUUUUGGGUGAAAGCAGGCUCCAUGUAGGUCAGAGUCAUCAAUAUUAUCUCAGAGAAUAGGACUUCAGUGUUCACUGCCACACAGAGUGACUUCCCUCUUCCCGGCAGUCUUCUGGAAUGAGACCAGCAAGUGUUGCCAUCAGUUUUGCAGGUGUGGAAAAUGAGGCCUCCGGAAGUGAUUUGCCCUCCUCAGACUGCUAGUCGGUGGCACCACUGUGUCUCGAACAGGGUCGGCCAGGUCUCUCUGGCUCCCAGCACUCCAUCUACUGCACCGCACAUGUCAGGGCAGGAGCGGGAGGGAGACACACAGGAGCUUUUGGAACAGCUGGGAGAGGCAAGUAAAAGUCAGUAGGUCAGGGGCGCCUGGGUGGCUCAGUCGGUUGGGCGUCUGCCUUCGGCUCAGGUCAUGAUCGCAGGGUCCUGGGAUCGAGCCCCGCAUCGGGCUCCCUGCUCGGUGGGAAGCCUGCUUCUCCCUCUGACCCUCCCCCCUCUCAUGCGCUCUCUGUCUCUCUCAUUCUCUCUCUCUCAAAUAAAUAAAUAAAACCUUUAAAAGGGCCAUAUACAUAUUGAACCUGAUGCCAAAAUGAGAAGUGGGGGCGCCUGGUGGCUCAGUUGGUUAAGCGACUGCCUUCGGCUCAGGUCAUGAUCCUGGAGUCCCGGGAUCGAGUCCCGCAUCGGGCUCCCCGCUCUGCAGGGAGCCUGCUUCUCCCUCUGCCUACUUGUGUUCUCUCUCUAUCUCUCUGUCAAAUAAAUAAAUAAGAUCUUUAAAAAAAAAAAAAAGUCAGUAGGUCAGUUUCAGCAAGUCUGGUUUCUAGAUUAUUGGGAUGUAUUUAGAAAAACAUUGAACAAGAGGUGUUUAUAAGCAGUGCCUGAGGAGACGAGGAUUUCCGGAGGAAGGAGUUAAGCCUGUCCUCGAGGAAUUCGGGGGACACAGCCACAUGUAAUGAGUGGAGACUAGUGUUCCCUAGGCCCACUGGGUCAUCCAUUUCACUCCAAGUUACCCAGUGCUACUAACUGAUCUGCACAAGGGGACAAGGGGACAUGGUCAGCAGGGAAACCUGGAAGAAGGGUUAACAAGGGAAUCUUGGGCACUGAGCAGAUGGCCCUGGGGGGCGCAGAAGAUAAGCGGGAUUAGAAGCACAGGGUCUGUCCGCUGAGAGGGUUCGUGGCUGGUGUCUGCCUGUCCCUCACAUGACCCCUUCCUUUCGUUCCCUGCGGCUCAAGCACUAGCUGAUCACAAAGCCAUUCAUUUCAGUCACUCAAGACCAGGAACAAGGGGUCCUCCGAAGCUGGCUUGCGUUGGGAGAGCCCCUCCUAUAAAUUGAUAAUUGGGGUUCUAGAUUCUGUUGGUCUCUUGGAAAUUUCGUUAACAGGAGCCUCCCACCCAGGAUUCGGUCUUCUCUGGGUGUACUGAGGAAAUCCAGGCUCUGCACCAGAAAGGCUGGGGACCAGAACUCUGGCAAAUUUGUCCAAAUGUACCACCGCCGAGGCCUCCUGGCAUGUGCCCUUCCAACACCCACAGUGUAAACAGCAGAGACGCUGUGUCUGCUAGGGCCUGGGAGGUGUGAAGGGCCUGGGCCGUGUUUCCUUGGAACCAGACUCCCCGCCCCACAACCGUUCUACAGCUGCCCCGGGGCCUGGGAAGGGAUGGAAUGUUCUCUCCGAGUUGGGACGCUGGGAAGAGCCAGCAGGAGCGGGGAUCCGGGGGCCAGUAGGCCCUAGAGCCACAGUCACUGCCCAGGCCAGAGGCAGGAGCUUGGUUGCACCGAUGACUGGGUGGAAACCAAAGGGAACUCACCACCUGCCCUCACUCUCCACUAGGCUAGGAAAUCCUCUGUCUCAAAAUCUGGCCGUUGUCCAUGCCCUUCUCCUUCUCCUUCCUCUGUGGCCUGGGGCCACAGUCAAGAGGGUGGAGAAAAGGAAAGCCCCAACUCUUCUGUCCAGAAAUUUGGGAUAGCCUAACAGGGCCCAGCAGCAGGGAGGUUUGAAAACCUCCGGGGCGGACCGUGGGGGACUGUGAGGGCAAGCCCAGCACUGGGCCCCCGCAGAGCUCCCUGUGAUGAGACAGGACCCCGAUGCUGGGGAUAAAGGGCUGGGAAGAGCGGGUCACAUGGGCACGUGCAAGGAAGGGCCGGUGACAGUUGUGGGUCUUCUUGAAGCUGGCUCGGGAGAAGACUUGUAGGCCCUCUGCCAUUUGUAGUUCAGCGUUUUGUUGUUUUCUGCAUUCUUCCCAUAGGUAUUUCUCAGGGCUUUGGCAGUGCAACAGGCCCUGGGCAAGGUUCUUAUUGAACCUCUCCUCCCAGCCCCCACUUCCUCAGUCCUAAAGUGGGGGUACGGACCUACCUCCCUUACCUCCCUGCCUCGUUGUCAGGAUUAAGUGGGGCGGCUGUCGAGCUUAGCACACAGCCUGUUUGUGGUCACCACUCCGUAUGUUGUCACUGUAAGCUAUUGUGGCUUAUCAUAAACUAUAAACACAACCCUGAGGGAAGUCAAAUUCCAUGAAAAAAAAAAAGCAGUCUCAUUAUGACCCGCCUCAAACUGUAGAAUCUCUAAGAAAAGUGAGGGCGUGUAGUCCUACAAGUGUCUAGAACCGGGUCUGUCCAGCUCCAACCCUCCCUCCACUACGCCCAGCUUGAGAACAGGGGCAGGGGGGCAGGGGGACAGAGUACUGCCUGGGAGGGGACCCGAGGAGGAUUCUGGGAUGUGGCGAAGUUGUUUUUUGAUCUGGGUGCUGGUUACACGGGUGUGUUCAGUUUGUAAAGGUGCAGUGAGCUUACACUUCCACGCACUUAUCUGUGUGUUGUAUUUAAAAAAAAAAAAUUAAAACAAACAAGGGGAGCUGUCUCAGGAUAUAGUCGGAUGAAUGCACUGGGACCAAAGGGUGAGAGUCAGAUACAGUCUCCUAGUUCCAUUGCUUGCCCAGAGAGAAGAGAAACAGAUUGUGUACUAGACGCAGCUGCAGUAAAGAAGAUGCCUAGUUUUCCACUCCCUUUUGAUAUCUGUGAUAUUUCAAAAAUAUAAGUUGUUCCAUUAGGAUACUGGUUAGUUGGUUUGUUUUCUUAAAGAUUUUAUUUUUUUAAGAUUUAUUUAUUUGUCAGGGAGAGAGAGCGCACAAGCAGGGGGAGCGGCAGGCAGAGGGAGAAGCAGGCUCCCCGCGGAGCAGGGAGCCCGAUGUGGGACUCGAUCCCAGGACCCUGGGAUCAUGACCUGAGCCAAAGGCAAACACCUAACACACUGAGCCACUCAGACGCCCCAAAUAUUUUAUUUUUUUAAGUAAUCCCUCCACCCAACAUGGGGCUUGAACUUACAACCUUGAGAUCCAGAGUUGCGUGCUCUAGCAACUGAGCCAGGCAGGCGGUCUGGUUAGUUGGUUCUUAUAAAUGUCUUCAGCUGUGACUUCAUCCACCAGUACCAAUAAAUCAUAACUUAGGUGAGAGGCACUGAGGUUAAAACUAACUUACAUUUAACAUCUUAACAAAGGGAAGUGUGGGACUGAGUCCAUUUUCCAGCUCAGAGCUUUGGGCUUUCCCUGCCUCUUGCAUUUCUGUCUUUCCCCAUGAAGAGAACUUAA